GGGUCGGUAGCUCAUUCGGUAAGAGCGCUCGCCUCAUAAGCGAGUGGCGGGGGUUCGAGUCCCUCACGACCCACCA
rnacentral:tRNA from 1 species